GGAGGGCUUGUUGCCCCAGCUCACGUACAAAACAGAUCGGGGUAUGGAGGGGCUUCCCACCCCGCCUCACGUACAAAACAAAGCACUUCAACCUAAACUUAUAUACUGUAUGCUUAUACAUAUUCAUUCAUGUUUGCCAUAUGUUUCCUCCUAUUUCUGAUUUUUCUGACUUUACGUCACUUUUUUUCACGACACAUGCGUCACUUGUUGUUAGGGGGUCUUCAGUCUUCUUUUGGUGGUCUUUUGGUGAAGGCUUCUCCUCUUCCUCGUUGUCCUUUGGAUAACCUUUCAGGGCUGCAGGGGAAUCUCUGCUCUGGCACCUGCAGCUUCUCCUCACCUGGGGAGCUGCUCAAGGAGGAGGCACAACAGCAGUGAAAGGGACUUGGGACCAAAGGAGGCAUCAGCAGAGCAAGAAACAUUUCCCAAGCUGUUAGCAGCUUCAGCACCCAUUCCACUCUGUCAAUGGAACUCAAAACAGGAAAUCAGUUCAUCUAAGGAGAGGGAUUUCGCCCCAGUUGCUGGCUCUGCAGCAGGACAUCUGUUCCUGUCUCACCUGGCUGAUGUGUGGAAUGUGGUUUAUCAGCUGCAAAGCACCAUCAAGUUCCCAUCCCUGCAAGGAUUUCCACAGAGGCCGGCUGUGGUGUCUCCACUCUGUCCCACCCUCCAUCCCAUCCCCUUCAGCAGGUGUGUGUGUGGAUGGGAAAUCAUUUUGGAAUAGUUUUCAAGUCCUGCCAACUGCAUUCCAUCCAGGGAGCAGCAGCUAUGAUUUACUCUAUAAUUUCCAUACAGUUUUAACUCCUAUUAAAAUGCCAAUAUAACUCCUCA